GGCGUAAAGCGCAUGCAGGUGGUUCGGUAAGUUGGAUGUGAAAUCUCCUGGCUCAACUGGGAGAGGACGUUCAAGACUGUCGGACUAGAGUACUGUAGAGGGGGGUAGAAUUUC
rnacentral:rRNA from 1 species